GGGGGUGUAGCUCAGUGGUAGAGCGCUCGCUUCAAAUGCCAGAGAUGUCCUGGGUUUCAAAAAAUCCCAGCUCCUCCA